rnacentral:rRNA from 1 species
CCUACGGGUGACAGCAGUGAGGAAUAUUGGUCAAUGGGAGAGAUCCUGAACCAGCCAAGCCGCGUGAGUGAAGACGGCACUAUGGGUUGUAAACCUCUUUUGUCGGAGAACAAAACCCGGGACGUGUCCCGGACUGCGUGUAUCCGAAGACAAAGCAUCGGCUAACUCCGUGCCAGCAGCCGCGGUAAUACGGAGGAUGCGAGCGUUAUCCGGAUUUAUGGGGGUUAAAGGGUGCGUAGGCGGUCCGUUAAGUCAGCGGUAAAAUGGCGGGGCUAAACCCCGUCGAGCCGUUGAAACUGGGAGACUUGAGUGGGCGAGAAGUACGCGGAAUGCGCGGUGUAGCGGUGAAAUGCAUAGAUAUCGCGCAGAACUCCGAUUGCGAAGGCAGCGUACCGGCGCCAGACUGACGCUGAGGCACGAAAGCGUGGGGAUCGAACAGGAUUAGAUACCCUUGUAGUC